rnacentral:rRNA from 1 species
UACGUAGGGGGCAAGCGUUGUCCGGAAUCAUUGGGCGUAAAGAGCGUGUAGGCGGCCAAACAGGUCCACUGUGAAAACUCGAGGCUCAACCUCGAGAGGUCGGUGGAAACGGUGUGGCUAGAGUCCGGAAGAGGAGAGUGGAAUUCCCGGUGUAGCGGUGAAAUGCGCAGAUAUCGGGAAGAACACCCGUGGCGAAGGCGGCUCUCUGGGACGGUACUGACGCUGAGACGCGAAAGCGUGGGGAGCGAACAGG